AGUGAACGCUGGCGGUAGGCCUAACACAUGCGAGUCGAACGGCAGCACAGUAAGAGCUUGCUCUUACGGGUGGCGAGUGGCGGACGGGUGAGGAAUACAUCGGAAUCUACUUUUUCGUGGGGGAUAACGUAGGGAAACUUACGCUAAUACCGCAUACGACCUACGGGUGAAAGCAGGGGAUCUUCGGACCUUGCGCGAUUGAAUGAGCCGAUGUCGGAUUAGCUAGUUGGCGGGGUAAAGGCCCACCAAGGCGACGAUCCGUAGCUGGUCUGAGAGGAUGAUCAGCCACACUGGAACUGAGACACGGUCCAGACUCCUACGGGAGGCAGCAGUGGGGAAUAUUGGACAAUGGGCGCAAGCCUGAUCCAGCCAUGCCGCGUGGGUGAAGAAGGCCUUCGGGUUGUAAAGCCCUUUUGUUGGGAAAGAAAAGCAGCAGGUUAAUACCCCGCUGUUCUGACGGUACCCAAAGAAUAAGCACCGGCUAACUUCGUG
rnacentral:rRNA from 1 species